rnacentral:rRNA from 1 species
AGAGUUUGAUCCUGGCUCAGGACGAACGCUGGCGGCGUGCCUAACACAUGCAAGUCGAACGGAACUGUUUUGAAAGAUUUCUUCGGAAUGAAUUUGAUUUAGUUUAGUGGCGGACGGGUGAGUAACGCGUGAGUAACCUGCCUUCAAGAGGGGGAUAACAUUCUGAAAAGAAUGCUAAUACCGCAUGACAUAUCGGAACCACAUGGUUCUGAUAUCAAAGAUUUUAUCGCUUGAAGAUGGACUCGCGUCCGAUUAGUUAGUUGGUGAGGUAACGGCUCACCAAGACCGCGAUCGGUAGCCGGACUGAGAGGUUGAACGGCCACAUUGGGACUGAGACACGGCCCAGACUCCUACGGGAGGCAGCAGUGGGGGAUAUUGCGCAAUGGGGGCAACCCUGACGCAGCAACGCCGCGUGAAGGAUGAAGGUUUUCGGAUUGUAAACUUCUUUUAUUAAGGACGAAAAAUGACGGUACUUAAUGAAUAAGCUCCGGCUAACUACGUGCCAGCAGCCGCGGUAAUACGUAGGGAGCAAGCGUUGUCCGGAUUUACUGGGUGUAAAGGGUGCGUAGGCGGCUUUGCAAGUCAGAUGUGAAAUCUAUGGGCUCAACCCAUAAACUGCAUUUGAAACUGUAGAGCUUGAGUGAAGUAGAGGCAGGCGGAAUUCCCCGUGUAGCGGUGAAAUGCGUAGAGAUGGGGAGGAACACCAGUGGCGAAGGCGGCCUGCUGGGCUUUAACUGACGCUGAGGCACGAAAGCGUGGGUAGCAAACAGGAUUAGAUACCCUGGUAGUCCACGCUGUAAACGAUGAUUACUAGGUGUGGGGGGUCUGACCCCUUCCGUGCCGGAGUUAACACAAAAAGUAAUCCACCUGGGGAGUACGGCCGCAAG